rnacentral:rRNA from 1 species
GAUCCUGGCUCAGGACGAACGCUGGCGGCGCGCCUAACACAUGCAAGUCGAACGAGCGAGAGAGAGCUUGCUUUCUCGAGCGAGUGGCGAACGGGUGAGUAACGCGUGAGGAACCUGCCUCAAAGAGGGGGACAACAGUUGGAAACGACUGCUAAUACCGCAUAAGCCCACGGUGCCGCAUGGCACAGAGGGAAAAGGAGCAAUCCACUUUGAGAUGGCCCCCUGCGUCCGAUUAG